AACGAACGCUGGCGGCAGGCCUAACACAUGCAAGUCGAGCGAACCCUUCGGGGUUAGCGGCGGACGGGUUAGUAACGCGUGGGAAUAUACCCUUUGGUACGGAAUAGCCUCGGGAAACUGAGAGUAAUACCGUAUGUGCCCUUCGGGGGAAAGAUUUAUCGCCAAAGGAUUAGCCCGCGUUGGAUUAGAUAGUUGGUGGGGUAAUGGCCUACCAAGUCUACGAUCCAUAGCUGGUUUGAGAGGAUGAUCAGCAACACUGGGACUGAGACACGGCCCAGACUCCUACGGGAGGCAGCAGUGGGGAAUCUUAGACAAUGGGCGCAAGCCUGAUCUAGCCAUGCCGCGUGGACGAUGAAGGCCUUAGGGUUGUAAAGUCCUUUCAGAUGGGAAGAUAAUGACGGUACCAUCAGAAGAAGCCCCCGGCUAACUCCGUG
rnacentral:rRNA from 1 species